GACGGACUAAUACCCAAUGAUAUUCAUUGAUGACAUCUGAUUUUGAAUUAAAGAUUUAUCGGUAUAGGAUGGGGGAUGCGUCUGAUUAGCUUGUUGGUGAGGUAACGGCUCACCCAAGGCCACGAUCAGUAGGGGUUCUGAGAGGAAGGUCCCCCACAUUGGAACUGAGACACGGUCCAAACUCCUACGGGAGGCAGCAGUGAGGAAUAUUGGUCAAUGGACGAGAGUCUGAACCAGCCAAGUAGCGUGCAGGAUGACGGCCCUAUGGGUUGUAAACUGCUUUUGUUUGGGAAUAAUCGACAUUACGUGUAAUGUUUUGCAUGUACCAUUCGAAUAAGGACCGGCUAAUUCCGUGCCAGCAGCCGCGGUAAU
rnacentral:rRNA from 1 species